UACGGGGGGGGCAAGCGUUGUUCGGAAUUACUGGGCGUAAAGGGCGCGUAGGCGGCGGGGUAAGUCUGGUGUGAAAUCUCGGAGCUCAACUCCGAAAUUGCACUGGAUACUGCUCUGCUCGAGGGCUGGAGAGGAGAUCGGAAUUCACGGUGUAGCAGUGAAAUGCGUAGAUAUCGUGAGGAAGACCAGUGGCGAAGGCGGAUCUCUGGACAGCUCCUGACGCUGAGGCGCGAAGGCUAGGGGAGCAAACGGG
rnacentral:rRNA from 1 species